GGGGGUGUAGCUCAGUGGUAGAGCGCUCGCUUUGCAUGCGAGAAGUCCGGGGUUCGAACCCCCGUACCUCCA
rnacentral:tRNA from 1 species